rnacentral:misc_RNA from 1 species
CGCAGCCGCGGUAAUUCCAGCUCCAAUAGCGUAUAUUAAAGUUGUUGCAGUUAAAAAGCUCGUAGUUGAAUUUCGGGAUCAAAGGAUCGGUCAUGCCUUGGUAUGUACUGGUUUUAUUGGUUCUCACCUUCUAAAGAACCAUAAUGUCAUUCAUUUGAUGUUAUGGGGAAUUAGGACUGUUACCUUGAAAAAAUUAGAGUGUUUAAAGCAGGCUUACGCUUGAAUACAUUAGCAUGGAAUAAUGAAAUAGGACAUCAGAUUCUAUUUUGUUGGUUUCUAGGAUCGAUGUAAUGAUUAAUAGGGAUAGUUGGGGGCAUUAGUAUUCAAUUGUCAGAGGUGAAAUUCUUGGAUUUAUUGAAGACUAACUACUGCGAAAGCAUUUGCCAAGGAUGUUUUCAUUAAUCAAGAACGAAAGUUAGGGGAUCGAAGACGAUCAGAUACCGUCGUAGUCUUAACCAUAAACUAUGCCGACUAGGGAUCGGAUGAUGUUAAUUUUAUAAUGACUCAUUCGGCACCUUAC